rnacentral:rRNA from 1 species
UACGUAGGGUGCAAGCGUUGUCCGGAAUUAUUGGGCGUAAAGAGCGUGUAGGCGGUUCGGUAAGUCGGCUGUGAAAGUCCAGGGCUCAACCCUGGGAUGCCGGUCGAUACUGCAAGGCUCGAGUACGGAAGAGGCGAGUGGAAUUCCCGGUGUAGCGGUGAAAUGCGCAGAUAUCGGGAGGAACACCAAUGGCGAAGGCAGCUCGCUGGGACGUUACUGACGCUGAGACGCGAAAGCGUGGGGAGCAAACAGG